UUACCGCGGCUGCUGGCACGAAGCUAGCCGGUGCUUAUUCUUUGGGUACCGUCAUCCCAACCGGGUAUUAGCCAGCUGGAUUUCUUUCCCAACAAAAGGGCUUUACAACCCGAAGGCCUUCUUCACCCACGCGGUAUGGCUGGAUCAGGCUUGCGCCCAUUGUCCAAUAUUCCCCACUGCUGCCUCCCGUAGGAGUCUGGACCGUGUCUCAGUUCCAGUGUGGCUGAUCAUCCUCUCAGACCAGCUACGGAUCGUCGCCUUGGUGGGCCUUUACCCCGCCAACUAGCUAAUCCGACAUCGGCUCAUUCAAUCGCGCAAGGUCCGAAGAUCCCCUGCUUUCACCCGUAGGUCGUAUGCGGUAUUAGCGUAAGUUUCCCUACGUUAUCCCCCACGAAAAAGUAGAUUCCGAUGUAUUCCUCACCCGUCCGCCACUCGCCACCCAGAGAGCAAGCUCUCCUGUGCUGCCGUUCGACUUGCAUGUGUUAGGCCUACCGCCAGCGUUCACUCUGAGCCAGGAUCAAACUCUA
rnacentral:rRNA from 1 species